rnacentral:rRNA from 1 species
GCGGCGCGCUUAAUACAUGCAAGUCGAGCGAGAACCGGAGCUUCGGCUCCGGGGACAGCGGCGAACGGGUGAGUAACACGUGGGAACGUACCUUUUGGUUCGGAACAACUCAGGGAAACUUGAGCUAAUACCGGAUGAGCCCUUAGGGGGAAAGAUUUAUCGCCGAAAGAGCGGCCCGCGUUAGAUUAGCUAGUUGGUGAGGUAAAGGCUCACCAAGGCUACGAUCUAUAGCUGGUCUGAGAGGAUGAUCAGCCACACUGGGACUGAGACACGGCCCAGACUCCUACGGGAGGCAGCAGUGGGGAAUCUUGCGCAAUGGGCGAAAGCCUGACGCAGCCAUGCCGCGUGAAUGAUGAAGGUCUUAGGAUUGUAAAAUUCUUUUACCAGGGACGAUAAUGACGGUACCUGGAGAAAAAGCCCCGGCUAACUUCGUGCCAGCCGCCGCGGUAAGAC